rnacentral:rRNA from 1 species
UACGUAGGGUGCAAGCGUUGUCCGGAGUUACUGGGCGUAAAGGGCACGCAGGCGGUGCGGCGCGUUUCGCGUGACAGCGGAGGGCUUAACUCUCCGAGGAUGCGAAAGACGGCGGCACUUGAGGGCCAGAGAGGGACACGGAAUUCCGGGUGGAGUGGUGAAAUGCGUAGAGAUCCGGAGGAACACCGAAGGCGAGGGCAGUGUCCUGGCUGGUGACUGACGCUGAGGUGCGAAAGCUAGGGGAGCGAACGGG